rnacentral:rRNA from 1 species
GAUGAACGCUAGCGGCGUGCCUAACACAUGCAAGUCGAACGUGAAGCCGAUUGCGGUUGGUGGAAAGUGGCGGACGGGUGAGUAACACGUAAGUAACCUGCCUCAGAGUGGGGGAUAACCAUUGGAAACGAUGGCUAAUACCGCAUGGGUUUGCGGAAACGGGAGUUUCUGUAAAUAAAGCUCAGGCGCUUUGAGAGGGGCUUGCGCCCGAUUAGCUAGUUGGUGGGGUAAAGGCCUACCAAGGCGAUGAUCGGUAGCUGGUCUGAGAGGACGAUCAGCCACACGGGAACUGAGACACGGUCCCGACUCCUACGGGGGGCAGCAGUGAGGAAUAUUCGUCAAUGGGGGCAACCCUGAACGAGCAACGCCGCGUGGAGGAUGAAGGUUCUUGGAUUGUAAACUCCUUUUCUGUGGGAAGAGCAAGGACGGUACCACAGGAAUAAGUCACGGCUAACUACGUGCCAGCAGCCGCGGUAAUACGUAGGUGGCAAGCGUUAUCCGGAAUUACUGGGCGUAAAGCGCACGCAAGUGGUUACUUAAGUCUGAUGUGAAAGCUCCUGGCUUAACUGGGAGAGGUCGUUGGAAACUGGGUAACUUGAGGUGAUGAGAGGGGUGUGGAAUUCCCGGUGUAGUGGUGGAAUGCGUAGAUAUCGGGGGGAACACCAGUGGCGAAAGCGGCACCCUGGCAUUGACCUGACGCUCAGGUGCGAAAGCGUGGGUAGCGAACGGGAUUAGAUACCCCGGUAGUCCACGCUGUAAACGAUGAAUACUAGGUGUGGGUGAUAUCAAAUUAUCUGUGCCGAAGCUAACGCGAUAAGUAUUCCGCCUGGGGACUACGGCCGCAAGGCUAAAACUCAAAGGAAUUGACGGGGGCCCGCACAAGCAGCGGAGCGUGUGGUUUAAUUCGAUGCAACGCGAAAAACCUUACCUGGGUUUGACAUAUACGUAGUAGUGAAGCGAAAGCGGAACG